GACGAACGCUGGCGGCGUGCCUAACACAUGCAAGUCGAACGGAAAGGCCCUGCUUAUUUGGGGUGCUCUAGUUGCGAACGGGUGAGUAACACGUGAGUUACCUGCCCCUGACUUUGGGAUAACUUCAUGAAACAUGGGCUAAUACCACAUAGGAGCUCCUGCUGCAGGGUGGGGGUGGGUUGGUUUCGGCGGUUGGGGAUGGACUCGCGGCUUAUCAGCAUGUUGGUGGGGUAGUGGCUGACCAUGGCCUUGCCCGGUAGCCGGCCUGGGAGGGGAAGCGGACCAAUCGGACCUGGAAUGCGGCACAGACCACUCUGGGACGCAACGGAGGGGAGUAUUACACAGUGGGAGGAGGCAUAAUGCGGCAACGCCGCGUGGGGGAUGACGGCAAUGCGGUUGUAAAGCGCUUUCGCCUGUGACGAAGCGUGAGUGACGGUAAUGGGUAAAGAAGCACCGGCUAACUCCGUG
rnacentral:rRNA from 1 species